rnacentral:rRNA from 1 species
UAGAGAUGUGGAGGAACACCAGUGGCGAAGGCGACUCUCUGGUCUGUAACUGACGCUGAGGAGCGAAAGCGUGGGGAGCGAACAGGAUUAGAUACCCUGGUAGUCCACGCCGUAAACGAUGAGUGCUAAGUGUUAGGGGGUUUCCGCCCCUUAGUGCUGCAGCUAACGCAUUAAGCACUCCGCCUGGGGAGUACGGUCGCAAGACUGAAACUCAAAGGAAUUGACGGGGGCCCGCACAAGCGGUGGAGCAUGUGGUUUAAUUCGAAGCAACGCGAAGAACCUUACCAGGUCUUGACAUCCUCUGACAAUCCUAGAGAUAGGACGUCCCCUUCGGGGGCAGAGUGACAGGUGGUGCAUGGUUGUCGUCAGCUCGUGUCGUGAGAUGUUGGGUUAAGUCCCGCAACGAGCGCAACCCUUGAUCUUAGUUGCCAGCAUUCAGUUGGGCACUCUAAGGUGACUGCCGGUGACAAACCGGAGGAAGGUGGGGAUGACGUCAAAUCAUCAUGCCCCUUAUGACCUGGGCUACACACGUGCUACAACGAAAAAAAAAAAGGGCAGCGAAACCGCGAGGUUAAGCCAAUCCCACAAAUCUGUUCUCAGUUCGGAUCGCAGUCUGCAACUCGACUGCGUGAAGCUGAAUCGCUAGUAAUCGCGGAUCAGCAUGCCGCGGGUGAAAUACGUUCCCGGGCCUUGUA